UCCAGAUCAUUCGUUCUUCCUAGCCAAUAUAUUUUGCAGUUUACUCCCCGCCUCCGCAGUGCAUUUUGUACGUUACCCCGCUUCUAGUCUAAAAUUCCCAUCCUUUCUCCUCCCUGUCCAUCCCCUCCAUAGCUCCAAUCCAAAAUCCCCAUUCCCUGGUUCCCCCAUUCCUCCCAAACCUAAGGUUGAUGCGAGAAGCUCUGUGAGUGAUGGCGCACCUGCUCGCCGGCAUGAGUGAUGGCGCACCUGCUUGCCGGCGUGCGUGAUGAUGAGGAUGAGAGACUAGUACUAGCUGCAGCUUCUCACUGUUAGCUUGGGGCUUCUAGGUGCAUCGUCUUUCUCGUCGCAGGCGCAGCCACAGUGGCAGCACCUCCCUGCGGCGGCGGCUUCGUCGCCUGUCAGGAACCCAUUGGGCUGCACAUGGGCUGACUCAAUUGCUGAUCCAUGCCAAGGCCCAAUCAAGCAAUGGAUGAGGAAUACAAAAGGCAGCAGUACAAGGACUUCAAGGAUCGAACAGUACAGAGAUCAAACAUGCAUCGGCGGGUUCGGCCACGGCGGCGGCGGCGACAACUUGGUUCAGGCUGAACCUUGUCGAUCUUCCUCUCUUCCUCUACUACCUCUCUUGCUACUACCUCUACUACAGCUACUAGGACAAUCCAGUCUCUUCUAUUAGCUUGUAUCCCCAUUCUUAUUAAACCUUGUUCUAGUCAAACACUUCCAAGUUGUAUUGAGAACUACUGUUGUUUGAUUCUAGUGAAGAAGGUUGCUAACAUCGCCCUCGAGGUCUUUGACAAGAACACCAGCCCAGAGUCUGAGAGCGACGCCUGCUGUCGCACACACUGGGAGUUGUCCGCCUCACACACCCACAAGCAUAGUGGCAGUGAGGAGAAAGAAAUAUGCUGUUUGAUUCGUUGAAUAAGUUUUUGCAGGAACUAUCGCAGCAGCUACUUUGUCGCCCUCAAGCCUCAAGGUCUUCGACAAGCACUCCGCCCCUAAGUCUGAGAGCGGCGCCUACUGUCGUGCACACUGGGAGUUGUCCGUGCUCUAUCGCCUCGCACACCAACAAGCACAGUUGCAGUGAGGAGAAAGAAAUGUGUGGUUUGAUUCAUUGAAAUAAGGAACUAUCGCAGCAGCUACUUCGUCGCCCUCAAGGUGUUCGACAAGCACUCCGCCCCUAAGUCUGAGAGUGGCGCCUACUAUCAUGCACACUAGGAGUUGUCCGUGCUCUAUCGCCUCGCACACCCACAAGCACAGUUGCAGUGAGGAGAAAGAAAUGUGUUAUUUGAUUCAUUGAAAUAAGGUACACAGUGAAGUAUCAAUAUAGCUUCUGUUUUUUUCGUUUUUGCUCUGUACUUCCCUAUGGAUUCAAUGUUUGGAGCUAAUUUGGGUCUGUACUGACUUGCACAACUAUUUUUUGAGUCCGAUGGUGAGGUGAGCAUGGCUGUGCCAUUGCAGCCCCAUGAGAUUGUUUCUGACGCUGAAUCAACCGUAAAGAACAUUUCUACUCCAACUCAAAUGUGCAUCACACCGCAGAAAUCAUGGAGUGCACCAUUCUGUUUUUUCAGUCCUCAAGUUGGACACCUGAAUGUGAUGCUUCCAAGGAACCAAAAGUUGGAAUGAUUUUUAAUGACAUCCAAUCUGCCCAGGAUUUCUAUAUAGCAUAUGCUAGUCAUGUCGGAUUUUCAGUUCGUGUGGGACAACAAAAGAAAAAAGAUGGUGUUGUUUUGCA